UACGUAGGGGGCUAGCGUUGUCCGGAAUCAUUGGGCGUAAAGCGCGCGUAGGCGGCCAGAUAAGUCCGGUGUGAAAGUCACAGGCUCAACCUGUGAAUGCCGCUGGAAACUGUCUGGCUAGAGUCCGGAAGGGGCGAGUGGAAUUCCUGGUGUAGCGGUGAAAUGCGCAGAUAUCAGGAAGAACACCCGUGGCUAAGGCGGCUCUCUAGUACGGUACUGACGCUGAGACGCGAAAGCGUGGGGAGCGAACAGG
rnacentral:rRNA from 1 species